CCCUCCUUUUCUCUCUCCCUGUAGCCCUCCCUCCCUCUCUUUCUCUCACACACACACCACCCUGCUCAGCGACCCAGCGCUCCCCAAACAGGACCCUCGCGGGCGGCAUCGCGAGGGACACGCUGCUGUCCUAACCUUAGCGCCACUCGGGGAGAAUGAAGGAGGCCCACCGAGCCCCCGACAAAGCUGCAAAACCCAGGAGACGCGCACGCGGGACCAUCACACUGUCAAGCAGACCGGGGUGCACAAUAGAGGGAAACUCUGGGGUUGAUCUGGGGGCAGGGAGGGGGACGUGUUAAAUCCAGAAGGUUGGUGGUUGGAGGCGGAAAGCAGAGUGUGCAAACUGUGCAUUCAUGUCCCACUUUUCACCCGAACGCCUGCCUAUCACAGCCUUCACUCAGGGAGCGCUUCCCCCUCGGCGCAGACCGAGCCUCCUCCGAUUUGAAACUCAGCAGCUGUUUUAACAAUUGAAAAAGCGGCCCUACAGGACCAGUGAAACGGAGCAGAGUGUGUGAAGCCAUUAAGGCUGACUAGAUGAGACAAUGAGGUGAGAAAAGUCCUCAUUGUAUCUCCACUUAGGAGAUACGAUCUAGAGCAGAUCCCUGGGUCAUUCAUUAACAAAGCUUACGAAGUCCCUGCUGUGUACCAGGCACAGCUAAAGAAGAACACUCUUUCAUGUGAGCAGUUUGGCCCAAGUUCCUGAUAGCUAUGUGCCAGUGAUAUCAUACAGCCUUAAGGCCACACAGACAUAAAGCCUGGUUAUUUUUUUAAAUGUUUUGAAGCUGAAUGGCAUCAGAUGUAGUGGAAAGAACACAGACAUCGGAGCCAGAGGUCUUGGGUACAGUUUCCUGCACUGACAUUUAAUAACUUUGUGACUGUGUGAACUUGGAAAGUUAUUUAAUCUUUCUGAAGUUCAGUUUCCUCAUCUGUAAAAUGGGGAUAAUAAAAUUUCUCUGAUAAGGUUAUUGUUAGGGUUAAACUAUUUUUAAUAUGUAAAGCAUGUGAUAUAUAAUAGGCACUAAACAAUUGCCUAUAUAAUAAUCACCAAUUUUUACUCCCUGGAUUCAAUUUCUGUUCAAAUAAAACAUUGCUUCUCCCUAAUCAGAAAACCGUACUUUGUAAGUGAAAAAAUAAAACAAAAGGAAUCACUUAGACCUUGCUUGUUAGGAUGGCCAAAAUGAUUAAUUUCAGGUUUGACAAAAUGUAACAAAUCAAAAACUCUUUCCUUUACAAAUUUAUUCCAAAAACAACCAGUGAAAAAGACAUUAUUUGCAUUUCACAGAUGAGAAAACGGAGGUUUAUGGCCAUCAGUGGCUGAGCAGGGAUCGGAGUCUCAUUCUGUCAAACUCUAAAGCCUGCGUUCUGAACCAACUCAAGCUGCCCCAGGAUAUUCCUUGGAGCCUCUAUCAACUAAUUUCACAGAUUCUUUUUUUUUCCUUUUUGCUGCUGUCAUGUUAAUGGGCAUUAUUUAAAAAGGGAUCUUACCACAGAAUUUGAUUUGGUGUCUCCUUGUUGACACCAUAUAAGAGCAAAUCUAACCACAUGUAGUGUUUUCACAAAAGUGUACCUAUCCAUCAAUUCUAGCCACAAACCUCUAAGGUCAGAAAUCUCAAAGAUUAAGCCAGAGGGAGGUGGAAUAGUCCAAACUGGUUUAGCUGCUUGAGUCUUCUCUUUUAUUUGAAAAUCACUUAAACUCUGUCAUUGACACAGUAUGAGUCCUUUCCUAAAGACAUUUUAAAAACUAACUUCUCUAUGAAAAGCAGUGAAUAGGAGGGCUGACACAAUUUUUAAAACUCUCAACAUGUGCAGCUCAUAAAAAGUAGGCAUAUGAUUAUAUAUACCUUUGAUUCAACCAGUUUCUAUUACAAGUAACCUGUGAACCCUAGAACUUAGUUAUUUUUUUUUUUAAAAAAAAGGAGGGGAAUCUCCACCUUAACCUUUUGGCCAUUUAAUCACUUAUUUAUUGAGUGGUUUCUAAGUGCCUGCUGUUGUCGCUCACUGCUUAUUAGUCCUUGUGAGAGCAAUCUUCAGUAGGAAUUAUUAGAAUUCCCAUUUUGGAGAUGAUGCUACUGAGGCUGUCAGAACUUGUCAUAUUUCUAGCCAAGAAAUUUGAACCCAGGCAGUGCUUUCAGCUAUUAUACUCGCUCCUCCCCUUUUGAAAUGGAUUCAAGGUAGUCACUCACAAAUGUGGAGAAUAAACUGAAGAAAGAAAUAAUAAGCCAAGUCCAGUCAUCUUAACAACCAUUUUUAACUGUUUCCUAGUAGUUUGGCAUAUAAAAAAAUUUCCCUCGAGAAAAUAAAACUUUAGUAGAAUAGCAUUAUUUUAAAAUUAUGUUAAGCUUUUCAGUGUGUGUUAUCAGACUCAAAUGUAUUAAAUUCCUUAUUGGAUUAGACCAGUUAACACUGGAUUUUGUCACAUUUCUACUUUUGAAUACCACAUCUAGGAAAGAAAUGUGUUAAUAUUUACUUCAUUGUGCCAAAUCAGAUUCUAUUGUAAAACUAGAUCAAAAAUGAAUCACUACACUAUAAAAUGCAAAAAUCUGUACGUGGAUUGUAAAGAGAAACAGGGACUGUUCUCAUUUUCUGGCGCAACUUCUCAACCCUCAUUAUGCUCUGUUGUAGAAAAAAUGCAUUAUUUCCGGUCAUUUAAAAGAAGUAGGGCCAUUUUUUCUAGAAAAUAAAUGGUAAUUGAAUCACUGAAAUGAUUUUGGGAAAACAGUUUCCAUACCAAUAGUGUCUAAUGUAACUCUGAAAACUCUUGGUGUUAUAAAGGAAAAAUUUGAAUUUUUCUAAUGUAAGCUUAAAUGUACCCAGUCGAAAUCCUCUCCAUUCCUUCCAUGUAAUCCUUCAAUGUUUUCUUGUCCAAAAAGUAUAACCAAACAUAGAGCCUUGAAUAUUUCUCUUUUGUCUCCAUAGCAUUUUAUCCAUAGCUCUCUCUAUUUCUAAGACCAUAAUUUCUAUUAAUGUGAUAAUCAUAGUGGUAUUCUGUCACUUUCAAUCGCCUAGCUGAAACUACUCAGUGAAACUCUGAGGGAAUUCCUAUUUUGAAGAAACUGCAAAU
rnacentral:lncRNA from 1 species